GACGAACGCUGGCGGCGUGCUUAACACAUGCAAGUCGAACGGAAAGGCCUGCUUUCCCUUGUGGAUUGCGGGUACUCGAGUGGCGAACGGGUGAGUAACACGUGAGUGAUCUGCCCCCAACUUGGGUAUAAGCCUGGGAAACUGGGUCUAAUUCCCGAUAGGACUGCAGGGUGGUGCCUGUGGUGGAAAACGAUUUUCUAGUGGUUGGGGAUGAGCUCGCGGCCUAUCAGCUUGUUGGUGGGGUAAUGGCCUACCAAGGCGGCGACGGGUAGCCGGCCUGAGAGGGUGGACGGCCACAUUGGGUCUGAGAUACGGCCCAGACUCCUACGGGAGGCAGCAGUGGGGAAUAUUGCACAAUGGGCGGAAGCCUGAUGCAGCGACGCCGCGUGGGGGAUGACGGCCUUCGGGUUGUAAACUCCUUUCGACCGCGAGGAAGCCACCUGGUUGGAAGGGUGGUGACGGUAGUGGUAGAAGAAGCACUGGCUAACUACGUG
rnacentral:rRNA from 1 species